AUUGAACGCUGGCGGCAUGCUUUACACAUGCAAGUCGAGCGGCAGCGCGGGGGCAACCCUGGCGGCGAGCGGCGAACGGGUGAGUAAUGCAUCGGAACGUAUCCUCGAGUGGGGGAUAACCCAGCGAAAGUUGGGCUAAUACCGCAUGAGCUCUGAGGAGGAAAGCGGGGGACCUGCGAGGGCCUCGCGCUGGAGGAGCGGCCGAUGUCCGAUUAGCUAGUUGGUGGGGUAAAGGCUUACCAAGGCGACGAUCGGUAGCUGGUCUGAGAGGAUGAUCAGCCACACUGGGAAUGGGACACGGCCCAGACUCCUACGGGAGGCAGCAGUGGGGAAUUUUGGACAAUGGGGGCAACCCUGAUCCAGCCAUGCCGCGUGAGUGAAGAAGGCCUUCGGGUUGUAAAGCUCUUUCGGACGGAACGAAAUGGGCGGGACUAAUACUCCUGUCUGAUGACGGUACCGUAAGAAGAAGCACCGGCUAACUACGUG
rnacentral:rRNA from 1 species